AUUGAACGCUGGCGGCAUGCUUUACACAUGCAAGUCGAACGGUAACAGGCCUUCGGGUGCUGACGAGUGGCGAACGGGUGAGUAAUGCAUCGGAACGUACCCAGAGGUGGGGGAUAACGCAGCGAAAGCUGUGCUAAUACCGCAUGUGAUCUGAGGAUGAAAGCGGGGGACCGAGCAGCAAUGUUUGGCCUCGCGCCUUUGGAGCGGCCGAUGUCGGAUUAGCUAGUUGGUGGAGUAAAGGCCUACCAAGGCGACGAUCCGUAGCUGGUCUGAGAGGACGACCAGCCACACUGGGACUGAGACACGGCCCAGACUCCUACGGGAGGCAGCAGUGGGGAAUUUUGGACAAUGGGCGCAAGCCUGAUCCAGCAAUGCCGCGUGCGGGAAGAAGGCCUUCGGGUUGUAAACCGCUUUUGGCAGGAACGAAACGGUGUCCGCUAAUACCGGGCGCUAAUGACGGUACCUGCAGAAUAAGCACCGGCUAACUACGUG
rnacentral:rRNA from 1 species